GGCGACGAUGCGUAGCCGACCUGAGAGGGUGAUCGGCCACACUGGGACUGAGACACGGCCCAGACUCCUACCGGGAGGCAGCAGUAGGGAAUCUCCGCAAUGGACGAAAGUCUGACGGAGCAACGCCGCGUGAGUGAUGAAGGUUUUCGGAUCGUAAAACUCUGUUGUUAGGGAAGAACAAGUACCGUUCGAAUAGGGCGGCACCUUGACGGUACCUAACCAGAAAGCCACGGCUAACUACGUGCCAGCAGCCGCGGUAAUACGUAGGUGGCAAGCGUUGUCCGGAAUUAUUGGGCGUAAAGCGCGCGCAGGCGGUUUCUUAAGUCUGAUGUGAAAGCCCCCGGCUCAACCGGGGAGGGUCAUUGGAAACUGGGGAACUUGAGUGCAGAAGAGGAGAGUGGAAUUCCACGUGUAGCGGUGAAAUGCGUAGAGAUGUGGAGGAACACCAGUGGCGAAGGCGACUCUCUGGUCUGUAACUGACGCUGAGGCGCGAAAGCGUGGGGAGCGAACAGGAUUAGAUACCCUGGUAGUCCACGCCGUAAACGAUGAGUGCUAAGUGUUAGAGGGUUUCCGCCCUUUAGUGCUGCAGCAAACGCAUUAAGCACUCCGCCUGGGGAGUACGGUCGCAAGACUGAAACUCAAAGGAAUUGACGGGGGCCCGCACAAGCGGUGGAGCAUGUGGUUUAAUUCGAAGCAACGCGAAGAACCUUACCAGGUCUUGACAUCCUCUGACAACCCUAGAGAUAGGGCUUCCCCUUCGGGGGCAGAGUGACAGGUGGUGCAUGGUGUCGUCAGGCUCGUGUCGUGAGAGUG
rnacentral:rRNA from 1 species